rnacentral:rRNA from 1 species
UCAGGAUGAACGCUAGCUACAGGCUUAACACAUGCAAGUCGAGGGGCGAGCAUGGAGUUGCUUGCAAACUCUGAUGGCGACCGGCGCACGGGUGAGUAACGCGUAUCCAACCUUCCCUAUAGUAGAGGAUAGCCCGGCGAAAGUCGGAUUAAUACUCUAUGUUUUCCGUUGCAGACAUCUAAGAUGGAACAAAGGCUUGCCGCUAUAGGAUGGGGAUGCGUCUGAUUAGGGUAGUCGGCGGGGUAACGGCCCACCGAGCCUUCGAUCAGUAGGGGUUCUGAGAGGAAGGUCCCCCACAUUGGAACUGAGACACGGUCCAAACUCCUACGGGAGGCAGCAGUGAGGAAUAUUGGUCAAUGGGCGAGAGCCUGAACCAGCCAAGUAGCGUGCCAGGAUGACGGCCCUAUGGGUUGUAAACUGCUUUUAUGCGGGGAUAAAGUUCACUACGUGUAGUGUUUUGUAGGUACCGCAUGAAUAAGGACCGGCUAAUUCCGUGCCAGCCGCUGC